rnacentral:rRNA from 1 species
GUGUCAGCAGCCGCGGUAAUACGGAGGAUCCAAGCGUUAUCCGGAAUCAUUGGGUUUAAAGGGUCCGUAGGCGGUUUAAUAAGUCAGUGGUGAAAUCCCGUCGCUCAACGAUUGAACUGCCAUUGAUACUGUUAGACUUGAAUUAUUGGGAAGUAACUAGAAUAUGUAGUGUAGCGGUGAAAUGCUUAGAUAUUACAUGGAAUACCAAUUGCGAAGGCAGGUUACUACCAAUAUAUUGACGCUGAUGGACGAAAGCGUGGGGAGCGAACAGGAUUAGAUACCCGGGUAGUCC